GGCAGUGUAGCAUAAUGGGUAAGGAGCUAGUCUUGCAAACUAAGGGUCACAGGUUCGAUUCCCAGGUAGAGCACUGCCG
rnacentral:tRNA from 1 species